AUUGAACGCUGGCGGCAUGCUUUACACAUGCAAGUCGAACGGUAACAGGUUAAGCUGACGAGUGGCGAACGGGUGAGUAAUGCAUCGGAACGUGCCCGGUCGUGGGGGAUAACGCAGCGAAAGCUGCGCUAAUACCGCAUACGAUCUGAGGAUGAAAGCGGGGGACCGUAAGGCCUCGCGCGAUCGGAGCGGCCGAUGUCAGAUUAGGUAGUUGGUGGGGUAAAGGCUCACCAAGCCAACGAUCUGUAGCUGGUCUGAGAGGACGACCAGCCGCACUGGGACUGAGACACGGCCCAGACUCCUACGGGAGGCAGCAGUGGGGAAUUUUGGACAAUGGGCGAAGGCCUGAUCCAGCAAUGCCGCGUGCAGGAAGAAGGCCUUCGGGUUGUAAACUGCUUUUGUACGGAGCGAAAAGGUCUCCUCUAAUACAGGGGGCUCAUGACGGUACCGUAAGAAUAAGCACCGGCUAACUACGUGCCAGCCGCCGCGGUAA
rnacentral:rRNA from 1 species